rfam:Rattus norvegicus chromosome 17, whole genome shotgun sequence.
CCAAAGGCUCUUUUCAGAGCCACCUAUACUUUCAGUGGAAAAGGCU